rnacentral:rRNA from 1 species
UACGGAAGAUGCAAGUGUUAUCCGGAUUUAUUGGGUUUAAAGGGUGCGUAGGUGGUCUAAUAAGUCAGUGGUGAAAUCUCUUUGCUUAACAAGGAAAUUGCCAUUGAAACUGUUAGACUUGAGAAUGGACGAGGUAGGCGGAAUUCGUAGUGUAGCGGUGAAAUGCAUAGAUAUUACGAAGAACUCCAAUAGUGUAGACUGCUUACCAGACCAUAUCUGACACUAAGGCACGAAAGUGUGGGUAUCAAACAGGAUUAGAUACCCUGGUAGUCCACACAGUAAACGAUGAAUACUAACUGUUUGCGAUAUACAGCAAGUGGUCGAGCGAAAGCGUUAAGUAUUCCACCUGGGAAGUAUGCCGGCAACGGUGAAACUCAAAGGAAUUGACGGGGGCCCGCACAAGCGGAGGAACAUGUGGUUUAAUUCGAUAAUACGCGAGGAACCUUACCCGGGCUCGAACGAUAUUUGAAUACAUCCGAAAAGAUGUAGCUAGCAAUAGCAAAUACCGAGGUGCUGCAUGGUUGUCGUCAGCUCGUGCCGUGAGGUGUCGACUUAAGUGUCAUAACGAGCGCAACCCUUACCGAUAGUUACCAUCAGAUAAUGCUGGGGACUCUAUUGGGACUGCCACCGUAAGGUGUGAGGAAGGAGAGGAUGACGUCAAAUCAGCACGGCCCUUAUGUCCGGGGCGACACACGUGUUACAAUGGGAGAAACAAAGGGUCGCUACCUGGCAACAGGAUGCUAAUCUCGAAAAUCUCUCUCAGUUCGGAUUGGAGUCUGCAACUCGACUCCAUGAAGCUGGAUUCGCUAGUAAUCGCACAUCAGCCAUGGUGCGGUGAAUACGUUCCCGGGCCUU